ensembl:misc_RNA
CUGAGAUCUCAUCAUCUUUUAUUUAUUCACAGUUUGCAUAUGGUAAGAGCAUGUGGGAACAGCUCCUCCUCUUUGCCUCACCCCUGACCUGGAAGGAGCAGCUCUAGAUGAGAAAGGGAGUUGGAGACUUUACGAUUAUUCACAAAG